ACUAUGUGUAAGUGUGUGGACAUGUGUAUGCAGUUGCCCAUGGAUAUCAGAGAAGAAGCCAGAUGACCCUGGACUAGGAACCAAACUCGGAAACUCAGUGCCAUCCUUGCCCACCUGCUGCCCACUUCCCUGCCAUGAUGAUCAUGGACUAAUGCUCUGAAAAGAAUGCUUCCUUUCAUAAGUUGCUGUGGUCACUGGGUUUUGUCACAGCAAUAGAACAGUACCUAAGGCAGUGUGUCUUGGUCAGACACAGAAAAUGAAGGAAUGGCUUCCUGCUUCUAAGAGGCUUUUUGGAGACCCUGCAAAAGGAAACAGAACCACAUUGUGAUGACUGUAAGUAAUCUGCUAGAUGCCUUGGACACCAGGGAAGUGAGGCCGGAAACUCACACACCAGCACAGAGACACAUAACUCUAAAAGGGCAGACACACGUGAGGACUGGCCCAAACGACCUCUGCAAAACUGGACAUUUCUAUUCGCUUCCACCUUUAGUUUAAGUCACACUGGAGAACAAGGCCAUGAACUUAGGACUGUGCCAGAGCUCCCCUGUCAACUUAGGAGUGUGCCAGAGCUCCCCUGUCAGUUUUGGACCAAGCCCUCACAAGCCCACGGUGCAAGGUAGAAGCACUUGUUGCACAACCUGAAGACCCAUGUUCGAUCCCCAGAACCCACACGUAACGCUGGCUACAGCGGUGUGUGUAUUUGUAAUCUCAGCACUCCCACAGUGAGACGGGAGGAGGAGACAAGUCCAUCCCUCAGACACUGCGGGCCAGCCAGAGUACGCAGAGACCCAGCCUCAACAAGGGGUGAGGAGAGUCCAUUCUUAAAAGCAGCCCUCUGACCUCACAUGUGUGCUGUACUCAAGCAUGUGUAUAACGCACGAAUGCACACAAACACAAAUAAAUACUGGUAAGGUUGAGUCAAGAGCAUCAGGUGCUCAAGGCCAGCCUCGGCUACAUGGUGAGUUCACCAGCCUACUGAAUUUUCUGAGACUCUGCAGAACUUAAGUAAAUAAAAUGAAAUGAAAAUAAUUUUUAAGGCCCUGAGGACCUGGGUUCAGGUCACAGCUCCUGAAAGCUACGGUGGACAGAGAGGACUCCUGAGAGUUGUCCUCAGAGUGCCACCCAUGCGCCCUCCC